UACGUAGGGGCCCAGCGUUGUCCGGAUUCAUUGGGCGUAAAGCGCGCGCAGGCGGCCCGGUGUGCCGCCCGUGAAAUCCCCCGGCUCAACCGGGGGGGGUCGGGCGGGACUGCCGGGCUGGAGGCGGGUAGGGGGCAGCGGAAUUCCCGGUGUAGUGGUGGAAUGCGUAGAUAUCGGGAGGAACACCAGUGGCGAAGGCGGCUGCCUGGACCCGGCCUGACGCUGAGGCGCGAAAGCGUGGGGAGCGAUCCGG
rnacentral:rRNA from 1 species